CCUACGGGGGGCAGCAGUGGGGAAUAUUGGACAAUGGGGGGAACCCUGAUCCAGCCAUGCCGCGUGUGUGAAGAAGGCCCUCGGGUUGUAAAGCACUUUCAGUGAGGAAGAACGCCUGGUGGUUUAUACCCAUCAGGAAAGACAUCACUCACAGAAGAAGCACCGGCUAACUCCGUGCCAGCAGCCGCGGUAAUACGGAGGGUGCGAGCGUUAAUCGGAAUUACUGGGCGUAAAGCGCGCGUAGGUGGCUUGAUAAGCCGGUUGUGAAAGCCCCGGGCUCAACCUGGGAACGGCAUCCGGAACUGUCAAGCUAGAGUGCAGGAGAGGAAGGUAGAAUUCCCGGUGUAGCGGUGAAAUGCGUAGAGAUCGGGAGGAAUACCAGUGGCGAAGGCGGCCUUCUGGACUGACACUGACACUGAGGUGCGAAAGCGUGGGUAGCAAACAGGAUUAGAUACCCCGGUAGUC
rnacentral:rRNA from 1 species